GACGAACGCUGGCGGCGUGCUUAACACAUGCAAGUCGAACGGAAAGGCCCUGCUUUUGUUGGGUGCUCGAGUGGCGAACGGGUGAGUAACACGUGAGUAACCUGCCCUUGACUUUUGGAUAACUUCAGGAAACUGGGGCUAAUACCGGAUAGGAGCUCCUGCUGCAUGGUGGUGGUUGGAAAGUUUCGGCGGUUGGGGAUGGACUCGCGGCGUAUCAGCUUGUUGGGGGGGUAGUGGCUUAACAAGGCUUUGACGGGUAGCCGGCCUGAGAGGGUGACCGGCACAGUUGGGACUGAGAUGCGGGCCAGACUCCUACGGGAGGCGGCAGUGGGGAAUAGUGUACAAUGGGCGGAAGCCUGAAGCAGCAACGCCGCGUGCGGGAUGACGGCCUUCGGGUUGUAAACCGCUUUCGCCUGUGACGAAGCGUGAGUGACGGUAAUGGGUAAAGAAGCACCGGCUAACUACGUG
rnacentral:rRNA from 1 species